UCGGAGAGGGCGAACCCUGCCGGUGCUCGGGCUGCGCACUCGAGGGGCGGGUGCUGCUGCUGGGCGCCGCGGCGGCUGGUGCGGCUGCAGGCGGAGCAGUGAUGCCGGCUGCAGGGCGGCGUAUGGCAGCGGGAGCCCAGCACGGAGCGGCGUGCGCCCAGGUGGGCGAGGGCGGCGAGCGUGGCCGGUUCAUCAAUGUACAGUCCGCACUGGUUUCGUAUGUGACAAGGAGGCAAGAAAAAAGUGGAGAACGGCAGUAGAGAUAAAGCAGAUAAGCAAGAAAGAAAAAUUAAGGACAGAAAGUUUCUAAAAUAUCAGAUUGUGCACUUCAAAAUAAUACCAUAAAGGCUCAUCAUUUUAAUCAGUUAUUGAUUACACCUUGGGGACUUUCCAUCGAUUCUACUUGAUGCUGCUUUUAAAAUGCUACAAAGGACUUCUGACUGAUGGUGAACUUAUACAUAAUAAAACAUACAAGAAUGUUAACAUGCAGAAUACAGUUAACAGGAGCAAGUAUUUGAAGACAACUUUAUGACCAGGAUGAUAGUAACACUACUUAUCAUUUUGGGGGGUUGUUUUGUUUUGUUUAAUCCCACGUUAUUUUGCCAAAAUGUCAGUAGUAUAACUGUCCAUAAGAAUUUUACUGAAUCAAAAGCAGUAAAUUACCAAACCUCUUGAGACACAGAAGGAGUGUUUAUAAUAUAGGGGAUUUUAAAAAUACAUAGUGAGAACUUAAGUUGGAAAUUAAAUGUUUUCCAAAAUGAAAAAUGAAACAAGCUCUGGUACUAGCACUUUGUAAACAGAUAUUUCAUGUUAGAGAUUCAUUAUAUUGAUGUAUGUGACUAACAAAAAUGAGGAUUGCAGUCCUUUUAAUCUUCAUGUGUACAUUUAAAUGCACAUAACCCAUUUCUCCUUUCUAUGGCAGAGUUUGAAGUACUUACAAAUGAAAGCCAAAACCAAAUGGCUGGCAUUAAUCAUACAGAAAAAAAAAAAUAAAGUCUGUAUAGCUCCUGUGGCCUUCCCGAAAGCAUUAACAAUAAAGUAUUUGCAUAAAGUUACAGCAAGAAAACACUUAUAUGUGAGAAAACAUGCAUCUUUUUGACAUCUGCAAGCCACCUCUCUUGAUCUGCUCUAUAAAUAGCAACUAUUUGUUGAGAGACUAAAACCAAGACAGUGUCCUGGAAAAUAAGAGAGACUGUAUGUUUUAGAUAUAUUCAAAAUAGUGUGAAUAGAUCUGUAUCAUACAGAUACACAACUAUCAAACACAUUUGAAUUAUAAAUCUCUUUUGGUCUAGUCUUCCUCCUUUUCCAAGCAGUGGUUAAACUUCCACUAACUCCUUUCAAAGCAGUAUCAGCCUUGACUCGUUCUUGCUCUAGUAAUAUUUUCUGGCCCACAGAGUAUCAAUAUUAACAAUGACUGUCAGAAGACCUGUACAGGCUCCAGUGAAAAAAAGUAUUCAUUUCUCUAAAUGAAUGCCUGAGCUCUGACUUUCAAGUGAAGACAGAGAUCAGCAAGUCAGCUGCUGUUCGUAUUGCUUUCUUACUCAUAAUAAAAAAAAGGAGGCUUGCGAACUGCUUGGUAGUAUAAUCCCUUCCUUCCCACGAAUUUGAUGUAAGUUUUCUUAUAAAAUAACUUUAUUUCCCUGCUUUGGUUAUAUAUAUAACUUUAGAAAUAAGUAUGAUCCAAGGCUAAAUUCCAAACCCAAAAGUUGACACAGUAUAGGGGGUCAGCAGUGAGGUUGAAAUUUCAGAUUAAUAUGGUGACUUAAUCCUGUGAAGGUGGGUGUAAGGGCUUCUCAGUUUCAAGAAGUGCUUCAGCUGCUGUCUUUUUAAUGUUUCCCGGACUCACUGCAGAACUGCAUAUCAAGCUGUUUCUUAGAGCAGAUAGCAACCUGUUUAUAUUUUGGCAAAAGGAAGCUGCAAAGGACAAAUAGAAGGCACUUCAGCACACAGUGCUGUAGAGCAGUGUUAGAGGGACUGAAAUGGAACCAAACAGGGAAAGUUAUCUUCCUUGGGAGCUAGGGGGAAGGAGGUAGCCGAAUGGAGUCACAGAGCUCAGGUAAGUUCAAAGCUGCAUGCUGCAUUUCACAAAACUAAAUCAAACCAUGGCCUUUAUUUUUAGACAUCUGCAUGAAGAGAAGGGAGAUUAAGAUGCCAGAAAUUAUUAUCCUUCACAGGCAGAGUCACUCAGGAAUCCAAUCUGUAUGAGUGCAGAUACUUGCAAACAUCGAUUCACCAGGAUACAGCACUGAGCUACAACUCACACAGUUUUAGUGCCGUGCAACAACCCAGCAGUCAAAAAACUUAUCCCAUUAGAACAGUGUACAAAUUGACAGUCUGCUAUGCUGCUUUGCAAAAUCAUCAUGGGAGCAAAUAUCUUUAGGUUUGCCUUAACCUACCAUCUGUCCACACAAAAAGUCAAAAUGCAUGCAUUUACACACAUUUUGCUAGCCAGUAGCAGACAUCAAGCAUUAUUCCUUUCCCCCACCCUUCUCUUUAAUAGGGAGAUGAGAUAAGAGAAAGUCUUCAGUCAUGGCAUAUACAUUUUCUGUGAAAAAAAUAAACUAAAGAAACUGGAUAAGUAUCAGUGUGCAGAAAAGCACAGCCCAGGUGGAAUACACAACCCAGUGCACACUCUCUUUGUCUGCUAUAUACUGCAGAAUAUUUACACAAAUAUAGGGAACCGUCAGUGGCAACAGGAGGCAGCACUUGUAUUUUAGACCAGUCCCAGUCAGUGCCUUCAGAGAGCUAUUUGAAACCAGCUGGGCAUUAACCUAAAUAGCAUUUACUUGAGUUCAAAAUAAAUUACACAUUCUUGGUCCUAACUUCCUGUUUCAGAGUGCAACAAUAUUUUAGUUUACCCUAAAGCGAGGACAAAAUGAAUCAUGUAAGUCUAAGUGGAUGCAUUAAGCAUGCUAAAUGAGGAAUGGGCAUAAUCAUUUAAAGCAAAAGCAAUUAGAUCAUAGGAAUGCAUUUAAAUACUUACAGCAGCAAUUAUUUCAUUUCGAGCUACUUGAGACUAUGAGACCAUAACCUGAAAAUUUAGUCAAUUACUUUUGAUUUGUAGACAAGUGCUAAACUACAGGAUUUUAGCUUUCCAUGGUUAACUGAUCAGAACAUGCUUUUCUUUCAUUCUUGGUGUUUAGAUUUUAUUGUUAAUGCAGGAAAUCUACAUAAUCCUGA